rnacentral:lncRNA from 1 species
ACGCGAAGAGGCCUGGCUGGUGGGAGGGGCCCGGGGAGCGGCCCCGGUCUGUGUACCUGAGACCGGUGGGUUCUCGGGUUCUCGGGCUGCUGCUGCUGCUGCUGCUGCAGCGUGUCUGUCUGUGCUUCUCCUGCCCGCUCCCACCCUCCGGGUUCACCACAGUGAGAACGGACGCGAGCCCUCCCGGAGGCUGCGAGCCUCGACAGGAGCACCCGCCGAAGUCCUCCCGCUACAGAGGAAGCUUGACACGUUCCAGGGGAUCCAACACCCUCUUCUGGACUCUACAGACACCUGUCAUGGGAGUGGUGCACAGACAUGAUGGAGGCAAACACUAAUACACAAACAAUAUAAAUAAAUCUUCAAAAUAGAAAAAGAGGACAAAACAAGGGUUCUAGAUAGAUGGCUCAGGAGUUCUUUUCCCAGCGCCCAUGUGGUGGCUCACAACCAUUUGGGGUUGGAGAGAUGGCUCAGAGGUUAAGAGCACUGACUGCUCUUCCAGAGGUCCUGAGUUCAAUUCCCAGCAACCACAUGGUGGCUCACAACCAUCUGUUAUGAGAUCUGGUGCCCUCCUCUGGUGUGCAGAUAUACAUGGAAGCAGAAUGUUGUAUACAUAAUAAGUAAAUAAAAUCUUAAAAAAAUAUAUAUCAGUUGAUGCCGGGAGUUGGUGGCGCACGCCUUUAAUCCCAGCACUCGGGAGGCAGAGGCAGGCAGAUCUCUGUGAGUUUGAGACCAGCCUGGUCUACAAGAG